rnacentral:rRNA from 1 species
CCUUCCCUCUUUCUUCGUGCCUAAUACAUGCAAGUCGAGCGAACGGACGAGAAGCUUGCUUUUCUGAUGUUAGCGGCGGACGGGUGAGUAACACGUGGAUAACCUACCUAUAAGACUGGGAUAACUUCGGGAAACCGGAGCUAAUACCGGAUAAUAUUUUGAACCGCAUGGUUCAAAAGUGAAAGACGGUCUUGCUGUCACUUAUAGAUGGAUCCGCGCUGCAUUAGCUAGUUGGUAAGGUAACGGCUUACCAAGGCAACGAUGCAUAGCCGACCUGAGAGGGUGAUCGGCCACACUGGAACUGAGACACGGUCCAGACUCCUACGGGAGGCAGCAGUAGGGAAUCUUCCGCAAAGGGCGAAAGCCUGACGGAGCAACGCCGCGUGAGUGAUGAAGGUCUUCGGAUCGUAAAACUCUGUUAUUAGGGAAGAACAUAUGUGUAAGUAACUGUGCACAUCUUGACGGUACCUAAUCAGAAAGCCACGGCUAACUACGUG